AUCUAACAGGUGCCACACACAGUGGCAGGUUCUGAUGGCUCAAAAGUGAAUAGGGGCCAGGUGACAUAGAGGCAAUGACAUUGUUCAGGCUUGAACCCUGACUGUUUCUGCCUCUUCUUAGCUCUGUGUGGCCCCUGAGAGUCUUAACCGCAUUUCCUCAUCUGUAAAUGGCAGUCACAGCUCCCCGCCUGUGAGGUCACUGGAAAGACCACCCCCAGGUGAGCUGGAGACCCUGGGGCACGAGCUCAGUCACUCUUGGGGAGCAGGUGCCAUCGUUGUCUCAAUUUUUCAAAUGAAUUUUUCAGAGGCACAGAGAUGUUAAGCAACUACCCUGAGGUCACACAGUGAGUGUGACAGGUGGAGCCCAAGCUGGGCCCCGGCUGCCUAUGCCCGGGUCCCUUGUACCUCACACCUCUCACAAGGGGCCUGCUCAGCGUAGCCCAGUUCCCUUCACAUGAUUCGGGGGCAUGAGCGCUCCGUGCUCCCCAGAAGCCUCAGACCCAUUCAGCCUCCUUUUCUUAGAGGGCAAGUGGGGCCGGUGGUUUUCCACUGUUAUUUUUAGCUCUGCCCCCACUGUAUUGUUUCGGAUCCAGAGAACGGAGCCUCCGAGGUCCUGCGAGUGUCCAGCCAGUGUCCGGGGGGUAUAACCUUAGCGGGCUUGCAUAGGAGCAGUGAUGACAAGGCUACCGGAACCUGAGCUCCCCGACCCCCACCCCACCCCCACGGAGACUCGGAUCCACUGCGAGUGACUCAACAGAAGCGGCCCUGCCCCCAUCCCGUCCAACUGGCGUCCACAGGUGGGGAGAGGACAGAGCUCCCAGAAGCCGGAUGAGAGGAGUUGCUCCGGGUCACGAGCUUGGCAUUUCCCAGCUCCACCUCCGUGUCCACUCACCUCCAAGGUCAGCCUCUGCAGAGCCACACAACCUGUGGGAGGGACCCCUCCAAGCCCCAGGGGGUUGGCAAGGAGGACUGGGAUGGGACAGCAGCCACCGUGUGGUGCAGCAGUGAAUCCUACGGCCCCCACCUGCCAGGGAGCGAGUCUGGGCUCUGCCGGUGUGAUGCUGGGUGAGAAAACAGGCCCAGAGAAGGUGGGUCCCUGCCCAGGCUCACACAGCUACGGAGCAGUAGAAGCUGGGAUUUGAAACUGAGCCCCAAGACAGAUUCGUGUUGACAGAUGUAUAAACUGAAUACUGACCCUCCAGAGAGAUCCACGCCCUAAUCCCGGGAACCCCUGUGAAUGUCACCUCCCGAUGGCAAAGGGAUUCUGCAGAUGGGAAGAAGUGAAGGAUCUUGAGAUGGGAACAUUAUCCCCGAUUAUCCAGCUAUAAGUCCCGGGAUCUUCCAGCUCAACCAGCCCAUUUUACCGACGACGUGGAGCCUGAGGCCAGAGUUAGGGGUCAACUUGCCCCGUCCCACCGAGAUGAGUGGCGGGAGGGUGCUGUCUCCUGGCACGUCCUGGGGGUCCUUGCUCUGCUCUUCUGGACUCCAGCCCUGGGCAGCCUGGGCGAAAUCGUCUAGUCCAAACCCAUUUUCCGAGUGAGGAAACUGAGGCCUGGAGUUGUCCGAGAGUUGCACUCGAGUCCCUAAGUGACAGGGGAUGUGCAGGCCCUGAAUCCCCAGGGAGUCCUCUCGGCAAGGCCCUCCCCUCCCCAUCUGGAGCGCCGCUCCUCCCCGUGUAUCCCCAGCAGACAGGGGCCAGCGGGGUCUGGGAAAACCACAUCAGGAGCGGCCCAGCUGUGGUGCAGGAAUUCGAGAGCAGCUCCUUAGUGGCCUCCAGCCUGGGAAAGCUCUGAGGCCUUCCUGUCCCCGCCCGCCUUGCCGCUUAGGGCCAGCCCUGUCCCCAAGGCUGUGAGAAGUCGCCUGGAGGCAGUGUCCAGUGGGGUGGAGGAAAGAGCGGCCUAGAAUGGAGGGACUUGAUCCCCGAUCCUAAGCCAGUUAGUGACAUUAUCCUGGAUUAUCCUAAACCGAGCUCAGGGCCCUGGGCUUGUCUAGGGGAGCAUAGGUCUCCCUGCCCCCGGCAUGUGGGGGUUCCAGUGGUGCCUUAACACCCAGCGACACAGGCCCACAGCCAAGAAGGCACAGUUCUUACAUAAAGCAUUCAUACCCACUGGCACCCUCAGACCUCACAACAGCCCUGUAACGGCGAGGCUGCUGCUGUCCCAUUUUACAGAUGGAGAAACUGAGGCUCGGAGAGAGAAAGGGACUCUCCCCAAGUCAAGGUCCUGUGGUGGCAGCACUGGGACUCUGCUAACUCCGUGAGCUCUCGCGAUGACCCUGGACUCGUCUCUGGCAAUUCGGUCCCAGGCUUGCUGUGGGGCCUUGAGUAAUCUCCCUCUCUGAGCCUCGACUCUCCUCUGUGAACUAGGACAUAAUAAUAGUAUCCACCUCACUGGGGCGCCUGCAGAAUCAGGGAGUGCGUGAGCCCCGCGCCUGGCACGCGGUGAGCGCUCCAUCUUCGCUCACCCUCAUCACCAUCACACUACCCGAUUGGAUAACCGCAAAUACUACUGCUGGGGGAAGACGCCAAUAAACACACAGGUCCUGCGGGAGGUGAAGGAGUGACCACGAGAGCAAGGAGGGGGCUGCCUGGCAUAUUCAAGCAACACUGAAGAGGCCAGUGUGGUCCUAGGGGGUUAGAGACAGGGCAGUGGCAGGAGGAGAAACCAGAGAGGUGGGGGGUGGGGCAGAGUCACAGACCACGGUGGCCAUUGGGUGGACGUCAGCUUUCCUUGAGCCAAGUGGGGAGCCAUCGCAAGGUGUCCUCAUUGUCCACUAAACGCUCAAAGCCUGCAAUGGGCCCUUAGACCCUGGGUCACUGUCUGAGGAGUGGAAUGGCCACCCGCUAGCUAACCACCCUCCUCCGCCCAGGACCCGCCCACGGCCCCUCCCCCUCCCUGCGAUGCUCCAGAACCCUGAGAAUCAGGUGGUCCUAAAGUGUCAGCGCUCAGAGGGAGCUUGGAGGCCAUUUGGCUCCAAUUACAGAUGAAGAAAGGAGGCUGGGACGCGGAGGGGAAGGGGCUUGUCCGGGGCCUCUCAGCACAUCCGCGGCUGUGCCAGCUGUGACGCCCAAGGCUCCUGCCUCCUGGAGCAGGGCCCCUCCCGCUGCAGAGCCCUCGGUGAACGGGACGUUUUGUUCUUCUGGCCCAGAUCCAAGGAGUCUCCAGGGACACACUCUGGUUUGCCUUUGCCAAAGGCCUCGCCAGCUAAGGGUCCCUUCUAGGCUGCCAUCUCUGGCAGAAGCUGCGCCCUCCUGGGGCCAGCCUCCCGCCUGCACCGGCAUUGAGGAGUCCGUGUGCAUGUGAGGAUGGGGACCCUGUGCAGCUCCUCAUCCCAGUCACCCUGCUCCCAGGGCUUCUAUUCCAAGCACAGACAUCGAAACACAAUAAGCAGCCACUCACUGCCCACUUCUGGGGUCACCCUGUUGGAGCAAUAAGCUCCUGACCUCUCUCCCCACCCCGUGGAUGUUCAUGGUGGUUCUGUAGCUGCCACUGCCAGCUCCUCAGCUGCAGUUCAAGGGGAGGGAACACCAGCCAUUCAUCCACUCUCUGAUCUUCCAUUCAUUCAUCUCUCUAUUUUCUUGCCCAUUGGUCCGUGCAUUCAUCCAUACACCCACCUAUCCAAUUGCCCCACCCACAUAUCUAGCCUUCCAUCCAUCCAUCCAUCCAUCCAUCCAUCUAUCCAUCCACUGAUCUGAACAGCCACCAGUCUGUCUGAUUGUUACUGGUCCAUCAUCUCAUCCAUCCGACCCAUCCAUCCAUCCAUCCAUCUAUCCAUCCAUUCAUCCAUCCUAUGCUCUUUCUCUUACACCUAUUGUUUGCCCAAAAACCUCUCUCUCUGCCUGUGCGUUGGUCUACAUAUCCAUCAUCCACCUAUCCCCUUACCAACUUCCCUGCCCUUCCGUCCAUUCCCUCACCUUCCUCCCAUCCAUCCAUCUCCCCACUCCACUCCCACUGCUCUGCCAACCAACCUGUCAGCCUGUCUCUUGGUCCAUCUACCCCUUCAUGCAACGUUCAUGGAGGCAUAUCCUGUGGGACUCAGCGUUGUAACUAUAGCACCUACAGUAAUAGCUGCCACUUACUGGACGCUUGUUUUAUGCCAGACACUCUACCUACGUUCUCACUUAAUCCUCACAACAACCUGUCGUCGUUUGACAGAUGAGGGAACAUGCUGGAUGGCCUCAAUUAGACAACUGUCAAAUUGUUUCAUUCCAAGAGCAGCUUUACAAGAUAGAUGCUGUCAUCAUUUUGCAGAUGUGGAAACUGGCCAUGCAAUUUGCCUGAAGUCACAGCAGUAACGAAGGACAGGAUUUGGACCUAAGUGUUCUGACUCCGAGUUCCGUCCUCCUUCCUUCUGACCACCGCCGCCUGAGACCCGAUGGCCAGACCUUGCUGCCCCGAGCCACGCAGGACUGGGAGAUGAGCUGGGCCAGGUGAACCUCUGAGAUCCAGCCUUGGACAUGGCUUGGCCCAGUGUGAACCCGCGGAUGACCCCAUUUCACUGGCUUGCUCCACAAAUAUCCUUCACUGAGUGUGUACCGCCUCAGGGCACAGCCCCGGGGACUCCGUUCCUCACCUCUGCUUCAGGGCAGGCAACCCAGCCAGGGGGAAGGGUGCAGCCCCGCAAGAAGAGGAGAGUCACGUCUGCUGCCAGCUUGCUGUGAGAUCUCGACAUUUCCCUCAGUUUUCUCAUCUGCCCAACGGGCUAGCAGCACCCGCCUCGGAGGAGCAAGUGAAAUAUGUGAUGUGAACACGCUCACCACGCCCUCUCCUCUCCCUUGCUUCUGUGCAAUAACAGGGCUGGGCUCGUGCAGAGGUCCCAAGGCGGGUUCGUGGCUGGACUUCAGGAGCAGGAGCCCCCGAAACCACAGGCGGUGUUUGUGUGUGCACGUGCAGUCUUCACCAAGAAGGCCUGUGACUUUCAUUAGAUUCUCAAAAGGCCCAUGACUUAGUUGCUAAUGAUAAUAAUCACUAAUUGAGUGCGGACUUCGAGCCAGCACCUGUAAGUGCUCGGUGCUUAGUACACCUUACUUCAUUUAAUUCUUAGUAGACGGUAGAUGGAAUAGUGAUUGAGCUCAGGAACUCUAGAGCCUCAUUGUCUGGGAUCAAAUCCUGGCUCCAUUGCUUCCCAGCUGUGUGGCCUUGGACAAUGACCUAACCACUCGGUGCCUCAGUUUCCUCAGAUCUAAAUUAGAUGACAAAGCUAUUUGCUUCAUAGGGUUGUUUUGAGGAGUAAAUACAGGAACAGAGCUUAGAACCAUACCUGUCCCUAAGCAAGAGCUCAGUAAAUACUGUCUUAAAGUAGAUGAGGAAAUGGAGGCUCAGAGAGGUCAAGGAACUUGUCUACAGUCAACCAGCUGGGAAAGAGCCCAGAUUCUAAGCCUGGUGGUCUGACACUGGAGCCCUUGCAUUUAAUGGAUAUGCUCACUGUGUGUUCUUGAAAAGACCCUGACUUCAUCCCACAUGCACCCUAAUUCUUACAUUCAAGGCUCUAGAUUUUACUGACAAGGGAGAGGUUCUGGCCACACUGGUCUCCAAGGUUCCCUGACAUUCUGAUACUUGAGACUUCCACUGUGCGAGUCCCCCCAGCAGGCUGACAGGCCUCCAGAGGAGCUGCAGAGAAAGAGCGAGAGAGCACGUGUGGGCACCUGAACGUGUGCACAUCCCCUUCCCGUGCCCCCCCCCCCCCCAGCCUCCACAGGGUGCAGCUCCCAGGCCUCCCUGCACAGCCUCCCAGGAGAGGCGCCCCCGCAGACUCCGCUCCCUCCCGGCGCCAUGUGACACUGGCGGGUGGUGUGGGAGGGAGGAGGAGAUGAGCUCGUCACUGGCUGACAGCUCUCCCUCUGGGGCAGGGAGCUCCCUGGCUGCAACCCUACCCCAGAUGGCUUUUAACAGAAGAGGAAACAGAGAAGUGCUUUGCUGGGCCACUUCCUGGCUUAGCAGGACCUGGGCAAGCAUCACUUCUCAGGGCCUCGUUCUGCUCAUUCAUAAAAUAAGGACAAUUGCUCCUAUGCCACUGGGCUGUGGCGGACACGACAGGAGAAAAGGCAUGUGUGUAAAAUACCCAGCCUCACAGACUCCACACUCUCAGGUCCUCUCCAUCCUGUUCCCCUCUGGAGGAAGAAGGGGACUCCUGGUCUGAGACCAGAAGUGGCAUCCUUUAGCAUCUUGUCUCAGGGACGGGAGUUCAGCUGAGGCAAUGGCUGGAGACCUGGUGUGGGCUGGGUUGGCCUGUGCAGGUGACGAAGCCACAGGUACUUGAUAUCAGCAAAAUGGCCCAGCACAACUCGAUCUGUGGCCUCCUGGAGCUGAGCGAAUGAGCUCCCUUCUCCAACAGACCUCAGGCUCCACUUUGUUCAACUGAGUCUCCAAGAACUCCACCAGCCGUACCAUCCUGUGGGCUGGGUGGCUAUCUCAAAGCGCACACGGCCAGAGGGUGGCAGUGGGGGAGCCUUCUCCCUACUCUGCAUAUUUGCUUUCCAACAAAUACCUUUUAGAGCACCGACUACAUGCUAGGUGCCAGGUUCUAGGUGCUGGGGGUACGGCAAUGAACAUGAGACUGUAGGAAGCUGAUAUUCCGGCGCGGACAGUCAGACUGCACACGGCAGGUAGUGAGGAGUUUGUGCUUAGUGCCGUUGAGUCGAUUCCAACUCCUAGCGACCCCGUGUAGAGCAGAGCAGAGCAGACGCCUGCCCAUCUUUUUGCGCCAUCCUCUCAUCCUCUGGCACUGUUUCAGAUGAUGCUCUGCUGCUAUUCACAGCGUUAUCAUGGCCAAUUUUUUCAGAAGUGGGUGGCCGGGUCCUUCUUCCCAGUCUGUCUUAGUCUGGAAGCUCCGCCGAAACCUGUCCAUCACGGGUGACCCUGCUGGUAUCUGAAAUACCAGUGACAUAGCUUUCAGCAUCACAGCAACAUGCAGCUGCCACAGUAUGACACCCAACAGGCGGGUGAUGUGGUUCCCUGACCAGGAAACGAACCCGGGCCCCGGCAGUGAGAGCACUGGCUCUUAACCACCAGACACCAGGGCUGGCUAGUGAUAAGCACUGUGAAGGACCACAAAGCAGACGGAGGAGACGUGGAGGGACCGGGUGCUCAUUAGGCCGAGGGUCAGAGAAGGCCUCCUCCAUGGGAGACAUCUGAGCAGGACCAGAGGAGCCAGGUGGGGGCCACGUGAGGAUCUGGGGCAAGAGCAUUCUGGGCAGAGGUCAACUGCAAGGCGCUGAGUCUCCAACUGCCUGUCAGGAUUGAGAAUCGUCAAGAAGUCCCCGGGGCUGUGCGCAGUGAGCCGGGCGGUGGGAGGACGCGCAUGGGGGGAGAGUGGAAAAGGUGGGGGCAGGGGAGGUGAUAAGGAAUUUGGCUUGGGGUCCUGAGCUUGAAGGGCUGGUGAGGAGUCUGCAGGCCCAGCCUUGCCUGCCCAGGCUGGGGAGAGGGGACACAUUUUGUGGGGUCAGUCCUCUGAGACCCCAGAUCCCCACAGUAAGCCACUUGGACCUAGCGCCUGCACAAGAACACGCUCUUGAAAUUCUGGGUUCAGCCUAAGAGCCUUCAAGCACCAGCGGCUCAUCUGGGCCAGCCUCCUUUGCUCACAUAAGCCCACAUGGCGGAUAAAGAAAUUGAGGCUCAGAGGGGAGAAAUGACCUCCCCGGGGACACCCAGCCCCCGAGUGCGUCUGCAUCCUGAGAUGCGCUCUUCCCACUUUGGCAUACUGCAGCCCUCUUUCAAAAUGAUGUUUGUGAACAUUAGUCUCAGUAAAGACAGCUAAAAAGCAUGGGUUGGAGAUGUUUUUAGCUGCCUGUAAGCCAGAUAAAAGGUUCUGUUGUUGCAAAAAUGCUCUUCUUGUGUAUGCUAUAAGCAUCCAUCAAUUUCCGAAAUUAUCCAGCCUCCCUAACGAGAAAUGACGGGCGCUUUCUGAAUUUGAGAUGAAGAGGGUUUUUUUUGGUUGUUGGUGGUGGUUUACUCAUAUCAGACUCUUUUCCUGCCCUGAGUGUAAUAUCCUAAGUUUCAGGGAGGCAGAGGCUGUUUUUUUUU
rnacentral:lncRNA from 1 species